CACGUAGGGCGCAAGCGUUGUCCGGAAUUAUUGGGCGUAAAGAGCUCGUAGGUGGUUUGUUACGUCUGCUGUGAAAACCUAGGGCUUAACCCUGGGCUUGCAGUGGAUACGGGCAGACUAGAGGUAGGUAGGGGAGACUGGAAUUCCUGGUGUAGCGGUGAAAUGCGCAGAUAUCAGGAGGAACACCGGUGGCGAAGGCGGGUCUCUGGGCCGAUACUGACGCUGAGGAGCGAAAGCGUGGGGAGCGAACAGG
rnacentral:rRNA from 1 species